rnacentral:rRNA from 1 species
GACGAACGCUGGCGGCGUGCCUAACACAUGCAAGUCAAAGGGAAGCAACUUCGGUUGUAAGUACUUGGCGCAAGGGUGAGUAAUGUAUAGGUAAUCUGCCCUUUGGACUGGGAUAACCCCGAGAAAUCGGGGACAAUACCAGAUGACGCAGCGGGACCGCAUGGUACUGUUGUUAAAGAUUUAUCGCCAAAGGAUGAGCCUAUAUCCCAUCAGGUAGUUGGCAGGGUUAAAGCCUACCAAGCCGACGAUCCAUAGCUGGUUUGAGAGGAUGAUCAGCCACACUGGGACUGAGACACGGCCCAGACUCCUACGGGAGGCAG